rnacentral:rRNA from 1 species
UACGUAGGGUGCAAGCGUUUAAUCGGAAUACUGGGCGUAAAGCGUGCGCAGGCGGUGAUGUAAGACAGAUGUGAAAUCCCCCGGGGCUCAACCUGGGAACUGCAUUUGUGACUGCAUCGCUGGAGUGCGGCAGAGGGGGAUGGAAUUCCGCGUGUAGCAGUGAAAUGCGUAGAUAUGCGGAGGAACACCGAUGGCGAAGGCAAUCCCCUGGGCCUGCACUGACGCUCAUGCACGAAAGCGUGGGGAGCAA